UACGUAGGGUGCGAGCGUUUGUCCGGAAUUAUUGGGCGUAAAGAGCUCGUAGGCGGUCUGUCGCGUCUGCUGUGAAAUCCCGAGGCUCAACCUCGGGCUUGCAGUGGGUACGGGCAGGCUAGAGUGCGGUAGGGGAGAAUGGAAUUCCUGGUGUAGCGGUGAAAUGCGCAGAUAUCAGGAGGAACACCAGCGGCGAAGGCGGCGCUCUGGGCCGGAACUGACGCUGAGGAGCGAAAGCGUGGGUAGCAAACAGG
rnacentral:rRNA from 1 species